rnacentral:misc_RNA from 1 species
GGCAAUCUUGUACAAGCCGUAAAGCUGCAACUGCACAUCCGUCGACACCUUCUGAGAAAGCCGAUCCGCUGCAGCCGCCGCCACAAAUGCGGUAGCAGCACUAAACGUUUCGUCCAGUUCGGUGCUCUCGACGCCCUCCCAAUCAUCAUCAUCGUCAUCAUCAUCAUCAAUAUCUUGAUCACCAACAUCACUACCCGCUAUGCUCUCGUUCCUCACGCUACCGUGCUCAGCCAUCACAGAAUCAGUGUCGUGGACGGCGGUUAAAUCAGCGGCAGUUAAAUCCUCGCUACGGGAACCAAAGUCGGGGAUUGAUUUGCGCCUCGGGGGAAGUGUUUGAUUGGAUUCAUCGCCGCGUGAAAUAGUGAGAUUGUCGUCUUUGAAAGAAACGACAAUGGAAAUGAGCUUGGCGAGAAGGUAAGAGAAGAGUAAACCUAUGAAAAUAGAUUGGAGAAACUGUUGCCAAUCUGCCAUGGCGAUGAGAAUGCAAGAACAAGAAGAAUUAAAAACCCUAGAAGAAGACUGAAUUUUGUGGAGAAAGGCC